CUAGCCAUGCAGUCGAGCGGAUGAAGGGAGCUUGCUCCUGGAUUCAGCGGCGGACGGGUGAGUAAUGCCUAGGAAUCUGCCUGGUAGUGGGGGAUAACGUCCGGAAACGGGCGCUAAUACCGCAUACGUCCUGAGGGAGAAAGUGGGGGAUCUUCGGACCUCACGCUAUCAGAUGAGCCUAGGUCGGAUUACCUAGUUGGUGGGGUAAAGGCCUACCAAGGCGACGAUCCGUAACUGGUCUGAGAGGAUGAUCAUUCUCACUGGAACUGAGACACGGUCCAGACUCCUACGGGAGGAGGCAGCAGUGGGGAAUAUUGGACAAUGGGCGAAAGCCUGAUCCAGCCAUGCCGCGUGUGUGAAGAAGGUCUUCGGAUUGUAAAGCACUUUAAGUUGGGAGGAAGGGCAUAAGUUAAUAUACCUUGCUGUUUUGACGUUACCAACAGAAUAAGCACCGGCUAACUUCGUGCCAGCAGCCGCGGUAAUACGAAGGGUGCAAGCGUUAAUCGGAAUUACUGGGCGUAAAGCGCGCGUAGG
rnacentral:rRNA from 1 species